rnacentral:rRNA from 1 species
ACAGCAGCCGCCGCGGUAAUACGUAGGGUGCGAGCGUUAAUCGGAAUUACUGGGCGUAAAGCGUGCGCAGGCGGUUGUGUAAGACAGGUGUGAAAUCCCCGGGCUUAACCUGGGAACUGCGCUUGUGACUGCACAGCUAGAGUAUGGCAGAGGGGGGUGGAAUUCCACGUGUAGCAGUGAAAUGCGUAGAGAUGUGGAGGAACACCGAUGGCGAAGGCAGCCCCCUGGGCCAAUACUGACGCUCAUGCACGAAAGCGUGGGGAGCAAACAGGAUUAGAUACCCGAGUAGUCCCUGUCUCUUAUAC